rnacentral:ncRNA from 1 species
CCGUUUCAAUGUUCAUCGCCUGAUCAGCGGUGCCCAGAGCAGCGAAACGGACACAAAAUUACAGUCAACCCACUGGGAGCGGUUGGCCAUUUAAGAAGUGAGGAUUCAUUCUUAUGGCCAAUUAUUAUGGGAAGUCCUGCGUGGAUUCUCA